rnacentral:rRNA from 1 species
AUUGAACGCUGGCGGCGUGCUUAACACAUGCAAGUCGUACGUGAAAGCGUCUCGGACGCGAGUAAAGUGGCGCACGGGUGAGUAACGCGUGGACGAUCUGCCCGGGAGUGGGGAAUAACGGCUGGAAACGGCCGCUAAUACCGCAUGAAUUUCAUGAUUAGCUUUAUGAAGGAAAGAGGGCCUCUGCAUAUGCUCUUGUCUUCCGGAUGAGUCCGCGUCCCAUUAGCUAGUUGGUGAGGUAACGGCCCACCAAGGCGACGAUGGGUAGCUGUUCUGAGAGGAUGAUCAGCCACAUUGGAACUGGAACACGGUCCAAACUCCUACGGGAGGCAGCAGUGGGGAAUAUUGCGCAAUGGGCGAAAGCCUGACGCAGCGACGCCGCGUGAGGGAUGAAAAGGUCUUCGGAUCGUAAACCUCUGUCAGAAGGGAAGAAGUUGCAACGUGCCAAUCAGCGUUGCAUUGACGGUACCUUCAAAGGAAGCACCGGCUAACUCCGUGCCAGCCGCAGC